AACGAACGCUGGCGGCGCGCUUAACACAUGCAAGUCGAACGAGAAGGCGUAGCAAUACGCUGGUACAGUGGCGAACGGGUGAGGAAUACAUGGGUAACCUACCCUCGAGUGGGGGAUAACCCGCCGAAAGGCGGGCUAAUACCGCGUACGCUUCCGAUCUUGCGGGAUCGGAAGGAAAGCUGUCCCAACGGGGAUGGCGCUCAAGGAUGGGCUCAUGUCCUAUCAGCUUGUUGGAGGGUAACGGCCUACCAAGGCAUCGACGGGUAGCUGGUCUGAGAGGACGAUCAGCCACACUGGCACUGCGACACGGGCCAGACUCCUACGGGA
rnacentral:rRNA from 1 species